GACGAACGCUGGCGGCGUGCCUAAUACAUGCAAGUCGAACGCUUCUUUCCUCCCGAGUGCUUGCACUCAAUUGGAAAGAGGAGUGGCGGACGGGUGAGUAACACGUGGGUAACCUACCCAUCAGAGGGGGAUAACACUUGGAAACAGGUGCUAAUACCGCAUAACAGUUUAUGCCGCAUGGCAUAAGAGUGAAAGGCGCUUUCGGGUGUCGCUGAUGGAUGGACCCGCGGUGCAUUAGCUAGUUGGUGAGGUAACGGCUCACCAAGGCCACGAUGCAUAGCCGACCUGAGAGGGUGGUCGCCCACCCUGGGGCUGGGACACGGCCCAGACUCCUGCGGGAGGCAGCAGUAGGGAAUCUUCGGCAAUGGACGAAAGUCUGACCGAGCAACGCCGCGUGAGUGAAGGAGGUGUUCGGAUCGUAAAACUCUGUUGUUAGAGAAGAACAAGGACGUUAGUAACUGAACGUCCCCUGACGGUAUCUAACCAGAAAGCCACGGCUAACUACGUG
rnacentral:rRNA from 1 species